UUUGCGAGCUUGGAGAGCUUCUGAGAGGUUUGGUGAAUCCCGUAGCCGAUUUUGGAAGCUCUUUUGUUGAAUUCUGAUUGCAUAGCAACAGCGGAACGGUGUUCCUCCGAUCUGGAUGAGGAGGCGGUGGCGGUGGUGGUGGUGGCAGGUCCAUUGGGUCCAGAUCCUGAUUUCUUCAACCUCUCUGCAAUGUUUUGGAAUUCGUGUGUCCGAUCUCGGAAUGAGGACUGUGCCGAUUUCAUGGCUUCGCGGUGGGUUAAUGUUGAUCGUGCGGUGGUGCUCCGGUGAAGAAGAAAGAAAGGGAAACCCUAGAUCUGUCUAAUUGGGAUUGGAUUGCAUUUGGGAAUGAAGAUGAUGAUUCAUUGCGAGCGUUGUAGCAGUAGCUAGCUCGUUACUCUAUUUGGAACUUGAUCCUGUUCUCUGGUUAAUCGCUUAUUUGUGUUAAUUGUGCUUGUCAACAUGAAAUGAAUUGAAUUAAUCUUAGCUGAGCUUUGUCUUAAUCUGACAUAAAAAAUCAGAAGACUAUGGACAGUUAAUUUGAUUUAAAUUUUUAUAAUUUUUAAUGUACAUAAACAAAUUUAAGAACUUAAUUUCUCACUUUAUGUAUAUAUAAGCUUAGGGAACUUCCUUACUUUUGUUUUUGUUGACAAUGUUAGUUGUGUAUUUGAAUUAUAUUUGUUUAUCCAUGGCAGCAAUGGGCAUUAAAUUGACUUGUUUAAAGGAUAAAAAAAAGUUUUGACUUAUUUUAAGCACCAAAAAAUUACAAAUGGUUUAGUUUAAGAAAAAUAAAAGAGGGGAUAUAAAAAGAGUAAAAUACACUCACCCCCUUCAAGAUUUGCAAGAAUGACACUCCACUCCAUUCUUUUUAAAAAUCUACACUCCACCCCAUUUUUUAUAAAGGCAAAAUUUAGUGACGAAAACAAAUUCGUCACUACUAAAAACUAAUUACUAAUUAGUAAAAAUUUAAAUAAAUUUAAUGCAUAUACACUAUCAUACAUUAAUUUAUGAAAAUAAUUUUACUGAAUUAAAUUUAAAAAAACCAUCAAAUCUGUCUGUUAAGUCCACGUCUCAUCUAUCUCCAAAUCAUAUUUCUCACCACAAACGGCCACCACCAAGCCUUUACUCCCUUUAACACGGCUCCACUGUCCCACAAUGUGAAACCCCAUGGCACCACCAUGCCUCAAAGUUUUGUUGCGACCUGAACCCCAGAACGUGAAUCGCACAUCCCUAAAGCCACUUGUUCAACUACUUCUUGUGAAUUUCACCCCUUUAAGUUGUGAGCGAACGCUCUGUUGGUCUAAGAUAUUGUUGAAUUUUGUUAAAAACGAUGCUCCACCGCCUCGUUGGGCUCUAAUAACCUGAGAUCCACUUCAUAUUUUCAUAAUUUUGUUUCUCUAUUUUCUUCACCCAUUUGUGUUGCUUUUUUGGCCUACAACCCAAUUUUGAAAAUUGGAGGUAUAAAGAGAUUAUUUUGAUUAAAAUUGAAUUAUUACAAAAUAUGAAAACACAAGCAUGUUUCACUAUGUUCGAGAUAUGGUUUGUAAAUCGGGCAGGUGUGCUAUUGCAUAAUUUGCAUUGUGAAUUUACGGAGGAAAAACACGAUUGAGAGAAUGAGGAGGAUUGUGAUGUUUUCAUUUUUAAAUUUAUUGGAUUAUAUUGAAAUGUUUUUUUUGAAAUUAUUGAUUAACAAUUUAAAUAAUAACUAAUUAUUAAUGAAGAAUAUUUUUCGUCACUAAAUUUGCCUCUAUAUAAAAUGGGGUGGGAUGUAGAUUUUAGAUAAGAAUGGGGUAGAGUGUAAUUCUAACAAACCUUAAGGGGGUGAGUGUACUUUACUCAUAUAAAAAUAAAAAACGUUAUUGUUGUGUCGUUGAAGACUGCAGUGUCUAAAAUGGUCUUGGUCUAUCAUGGUCUUUAAUGGUCCAUGGAUGGAUCACAAUGUAAAAAAGUUUGAGAAAACUUUUCAAGAUUACCAAAAUAACCUCAAGAAUUAUCAUUUUCAAAAUUUCACCUGCUUGGUCCAAUCUUUCGUGAACCAUCUUCCGAUUACUAUCUAUUGUGCACAAAAGGCCACCAACUAUCCAUUGUGCUCAUAGAACCACCUCCCAACCUCUACGCGACACCUUCCCCUCCUUCAAUGCUCACAUUCAUUUCAUUAUCGUAUUCUUUCUUCCUCUCCUCUUCAACAUUAAUGAGGACAAGGCCCCAAUCGAGGUAGAAAGAACACAUAAUGGUCAAAACUUAUGUAGUGUAUCUCAUUUUGGUGUUUGGAAAAUAAUGCAACUAACUACAACCUGUAUUUGAAGAAUGGGGUGAAAUUAGGGGAUAGUGAUGUAGAAAAGGAAUAGAAGAGAAGAGAAAAUGAAGAGAACUUCAAGAAAGAUCGCACUAUCUGCACUCUACUUAGCAUCUCGAAUUGGGGCUGGUUCGCGGUCAGGUUGGUCACGAAGGGGAGGACAGGUGACGGAAGACGCGAUGGAGUGGGAGUAUCGUGUUGUGGUCCCAGUAGGCAGGAGGUGGUUGUCAAUCGAGAGUUUCACCUUCUUCUCCUUUCAAGGCUGAUGCUGCUCCGAAAAAGUUGUUGAAGUCAUCAAUGAUCGCAGGUGGUUCAAUGUCAGGAUCGGAGGGGGUGUUAAAAGUCAGGGACUCCAGUGGUGGUGUAGUGGUUUCCAGUAAGAUCAUGAAGGUGGGGAAAUAUUCUGUUUUAUGAUUAUUAUUUCAUAACGUUAUAGGGAAAAAUUUAUUAUGGACCACUUUUGUGUGGUCCAUAUUAAAUGCCUCCAACGUUAUAGUAGCACAAAGAAGGACAGAGGGAACAAUAUGCAACGCAUAAAGUAGAAUUUAACCUCGUUAUUUCGUCCAAAAAAAUAAAGUCCUCGUCAUAUGUAUUAAUAUACGUACAAGUUUGACAAAGAUAGAUAUUUGGAGAACUAAAUAUGAAUGAAAUACGGAAGAAGGUUUGACAUAAGUAAGAAAGCUCGUUUUCAUUUCAGUCAUUGGAAUGACUAUGCCACAAAAAAUAAGAAAACCAUAAGGAAAAAUAUUAAUACAAAGAAAAUCUUGAUCAUGAGCCACCUAUUAGAAGAUAUGCUGUUCAGAUACUUCAACAAAGCACCUUGCGCCCCCUCCACGUUUGCCAAUGUAUCAUCCAUGUUUUCAUCAAUCCUGCAAAUUCAAUACCUCUGUAAACCUCGCCAUUGUGACAAUUGGCCAAUAUGAAAGAAAAGAUCAAGCAAUUUCACCUUAUCAGCAGCAAUCAAAGUAUAUGUAUGAAAUUGUUCACACCAAAUUACAACUAGUUUUAUACUGUAAUCCUAGCAUAUGUGUAUCCACACAUCCCAAAACAUAUUCAACAAAUAAAUGACAAAAUCAGACACCCAAAAAAACUAACUAAAAACAGGCAUAAACAAGGAGGGAAGAGGAGAUUAAAGUGAACAUAAAAGAUUUUAUGCGCAACUCGGUCCCCAGACCAAAGAUGAAAGAGCAGGCUAAGUUUUAACUGUCACCAAAUACAUUGGAACCGGGAGGAAAUGUUUCUAUGGCAAGACCCCGUACAUACUGAAAGCAACAAAUAAGAUUGAGGAAUUAUAAAAGCAACACAAGGGAGGGCAAAGCACGGGUUCUAUGCAUACGAUUUAACUCCACUAAGGCACUAAGUGUAGAAGGUACUUUAUAGAAAACAAAGUGCAUGCGGACAACAACUGAUUAGAAGACAUCAAAGGUUCAGGUCUUUUUCAAGUGCAAGCACCAGAUUACUUGUUCAUGAAGUUACUAUGACAUCAUCUGUUUUUAUUUUCAUCAAAAGUUAUCCACCAAUACUUUAAAGCUUUAAACUUUUCCUUGUAUUUUAAAGGAGGCUAAAUUCUUAUAAAAGUCAUCUCUCUAGUCUCCACUCAAUAAGCACCAAAAUAACCAAUUUUAAGGGCAUGGCACUCACAACCCUAAAGUCAACAUGCAGUUAACAACCCAAUCAUCUCCAACAGACAAGAAACCCAGUCCACCUAGCUAAAUUCUUAUGCAAGACAUUUCUCUAGUAAGCACCAAAACAAGCAAUUCAAACAGAAUGGCAUCACAACCCUAUAGUAAAUACACAGUAAACAACCAAAUCAUCUUUAGGAACAGAUCCCCAUUAGGAAAGCUUACAUCACACGAGCCAAUGAAUCAAGUGCGCCAGCCCUUGAUAUAGUUGGGCAUAUUUACGAGGAUGCCUCUUUAGGAAUGUGGUUAGAGUAAUUAAAGAAUAAGACCUCUAUAAAUAGAAACAGAGAAUGUAAGGAAAGUAUUAGUUGGUCAAUUGGUUUUGGGUGGGAGAGGCCAAGCUCUCAAAUUGCUUGGAAAGACUACGUUUUAUCCCAUUCUUCCUCUUCUUGACCCUGGAUAACCGUUGAUGCAACAUUGGAGGAGAAUAUUCAAUAAAAGUUUCUUACUUUCUUUCUCUUGUAUUUUAAAUCAGUAUCUAUAAUCAUCUUAACUACAAACUUCUUGAAACUGGAAGUAUUUUGAUUAGUUAUCGAUAUUAACGUGAUUCAGAAGUACAAUAUUUAUAGACUAGGUUGUUAGAGGUUUGUAUAGCAACAUGAGUUCGACAUAUAAAUACCUGAUGGCAACCUCUCCUUGUUGGGAAACAAGUGUUGCUAGUUGAUUAAAAAUGUUGCUGAGCUCAUGAAUAGUGGACUCAACAUUCUGAAGUGCUUCUGCUCUGCUUUGCAUGUAACUGUCUUGUAAAGGAACUAUCUGUUGCUGCUGUUGCUGUUGUUGUUGCUGCUGUUGCAACAAUGGUUGACUCUCCCCAUCCACUUGCUUCCUGUAGAUUUAAAGCCAUGAAAGUUUUAAAUCAAAAAAAAAAAUGUCUGGAGCCAUAGUUCCAGAAAGAAUUUAAUCCAACCUGAAACAACCUUAAAAUAUUAAGCAUAGCAAAAGUUUUCAUUAUUAAAUAGGAAAGGAUCCACAAGUCAUGCUUGUAACUAGAGCUCUUAAUUUGGUCCCAGAUGCACAAUUUUUUUAGGAAGACCUGCCAUUUCAAUUCCAAUCCUCUUUGUCAGGCCAAGUCAUCCCAAUAAAGGAAAAUGGUCUGACAUUUUGAAUGAGCCUUCCUGCUUUUCUACAUGCAUUUUGGGCUAUCCUGUUUGACCAGCCAAUUUCCCUAGGCCGGGCCAAGUUUACUAGUCCUACAGUUUUCUCAGUCCAGGCUAGGGCAACAAAACAAGGUUUGACGAGACACCCUGUUUGACAGGCCUAGUUGUAAGCAAACAAGCAAAUGAAAUCCAUAAAUUAAUUUAAGUGAUUUAAUUAAUUAAUACAGUAAAGCAAAGGUUACGAACUUAUGUCUGUUCAAUGCUGUUAGAGUUCAUAGAAGUGAAAAGAUAGAGAAAAACUGUUUCUGAAGUGAUAAUUUCAUAUCUGAAUGAUUCUACAAUAUAUGAGUGGACAUAAAGCCUAACCAGGCUUGUUGCAAACUGCAGUUAUAAAGUAACUUCUCUAACAGAAUUCUAACCAAUACCUAAGUAACUCUAACUUAACAGUUCCAUAGCUCAGACUGCUCAGUACUGAUCACUCAUUACAACUCGAUGCAUAUUAUCUAUUUUUAUCUAUAUACUCUAUCUAACAAAUGCAAUCACAAAGGAGGGAGUAAAGACAUACUUUCCAAACUGAAAUUAAUAAAUAUGGGCCCAAUGGUGGUGCACUUGUGCCAAAAAGCAGCAAAUUUGAGUUCUAUUAUACUUCAAAUGACAAUUUGAGGAAGUCAAAUAAAACAAGGGUAUGUAGCUACGCUUUUGCUCAAUAUGAAUAGAUCAAUCUUCACUAGAAUCGCCAGUUCCUUUGAAUAAAAAUUAUGCACCUCAAUAGUCUAAUGGCAUACUACUACAAAUUAAGCGAUGAAGAAGCAGUAAUGCAGAUUAUCUAAUAAAUUAGUUUACCUGCAUUGCAUAAAAAAUCAGCAGGAAAACAACAAAGCGGUGCUUAACUAGAGCCUACAACGAAUCAACAAAAGAACAAAGAUAGAACAACACAACUUACUUAGGAAACAACUGGGAUGAAGAUUGCGAACCACUAGCCCAUGGAGGUGCAGGGGCAUCAGAAGAACUAGCAGCGGACCUCGUAGCUAAAGGUCGCUGACGGACAAAAGGGUUAGCAGAAUCUUUCGAGGCAGAGGCCGAAAACAAUUGUCUCCUACUCUCGUGUACUUUCAUGUUCUUCACAAAACACAACAACACAACAUCAUCAUCAGCCUCAGACAUGAAGGUGCAAAACAUCCACACAAAAAACACACCAAUACAGUACAUUAUCAUUACCUCAGUUCUCAUGGUGAGAACAUCUUUAAACUCCUUCGUGGCACCCAUCAACCGCGUCUUGAGGUCAUCUACAACCGUGGUGGAAUGACUAGUCGUGUCGGCAGAAGCAUUUCCACUCUCAUUCCUAGAAUUGCUGAGUAACUGAAGAUCAACAACCGCGGAGUUUAGCGCAGUAAUAUCCUGCUUAAUAACACUAGUAAGCUCUUGGAUUUCCAUGGUAGGGUCAUCGAAAACCGAAGUCCUUUUCGCCACUGCAAACCAUAACAAAUAGAAAGCUAAAGCUAUUGAUUGCAUUUGCAUAGUUCUAAAACAAUCACAUAAACUAGCAUUGAAUAGUCAGUGUUGAGAAAUAGUGAGUGAAUCAAUGGAAUUGGUUACAUUUUGCGAGCUUGGCGAGCUUCUGAGAGGUUUGGUGAAUGCCGUAACCGAUUUUGGAGGCUCUUUUGUUGAAUUCUGAUUGCAUAGCAAUGGCAGAACGGGGUUCCUCCGAUCUGGAUGAGGUGGUGGUGGUGGUGGCAGGUCCAUUGGGUCCAGAUCCUGAUUUCUUCAACCUCUCUGUGAUGCUGUGGAAUUCGUGCGUCCGAUCCCGAUACGAUGACUGCGCCGAUUUGACGUGCAUUUUCCCGGUUCAGGAAUUUUCACGGAGGGGAGAAUGGUGGCAAGGAAAG
rnacentral:lncRNA from 1 species